CCAGGGGAAGCUGACGUUGAAGAGAGGGUAAAUACAAAGUGUUUCCUGGUGCCUUUAAUUAUGUGACAAUAGAAAGAACAAGCUAAGGAAAUUCAAUCAAAGGCAGGUAAUAGCAACUUCCCAUUGCUUUAAAAAGUAAUAAUAACCACAACACACUAUGACAUAAAGCUCCAGGAGAAACAAUAAACAAAAGAGAAGAAAUGCACCCUUGAGACUUGGAGUUCUAAAUGGCAAUAGUCACUUGCCAAAGAUUAUUGUGUGACUAUUAACCACAACUAUUCCUUUGGCCAUCCAGCAAGAGCUGAGGAGCAUAAGGGCACCAGAGAUUCAUCCUGUGUGAAAGGU
rnacentral:lncRNA from 1 species